rnacentral:rRNA from 1 species
UACGUAGGGUGCAAGCGUUAAUCGGAAUUACUGGGCGUAAAGCGUGCGCAGGCGGUUUUGUAAGUCUGUCGUGAAAUCCCCGGGCCUCAACCUGGGAAUUGGCGAUGGAGACUGCAAGGCUAGAAUCUGGCAGAGGGGGGGUAGAAUUCCACGUGUAGCAGUGAAAUGCGUAGAGAUGUGGAGGAACACCGAUGGCGAAGGGCAGCCCCC